UAGGCAGAGGCCUGUUGGCUUAGGCACCUAGCUGUUAACUAGGGGUGUUGUGGGAUCGAAGCCCACCUGUCUAG
rnacentral:tRNA from 3 species